UAGUGGCCUACCAAGGCGACGACGGGUAGCCGGCCUGAGAGGGUGACCGGCCACACUGGGACUGAGACACGGCCCAGACUCCUACGGGAGGCAGCAGUGGGGAAUAUUGCGCAAUGGGCGAAAGCCUGACGCAGCGACGCCGCGUGGGGGAUGACGGCCUUCGGGUUGUAAACCUCUUUCAGCAGGGACGAAGCGCAAGUGACGGUACCUGCAGAAGAAGCACCGGCCAACUACGUGCCAGCAGCCGCGGUAAUACGUAGGGUGCAAGCGUUGUCCGGAAUUAUUGGGCGUAAAGAGCUCGUAGGCGGUUUGUUGCGUCGGCUGUGAAAUCCCGAGGCUCAGCCUCGGGUCUGCAGUCGAUACGAGCAAACUAGAGUGUUGCAGGGGAGACUGGAAUUCCUGGUGUAGCGGUGAAAUGCGCAGAUAUCAGGAGGAACACCGGUGGCGAAGGCGGGUCUCUGGGCAACAACUGACGCUGAGGAGCGAAAGCGUGGGGAGCGAACAGGAUUAGAUACCCUGGUAGUCCACGCCGUAAACGUUGGGCGCUAGGUGUGGGGCUCAUUCCACGAGUUCCGUGCCGCAGCUAACGCAUUAAGCG
rnacentral:rRNA from 1 species